CAUCGCCUCCUGCCCACUCAGCAUAGGAGGUCCCGCCUGCCCUGUGACCAAAAGUUUAACGGCCGCGGUAUUUUAACCGUGCAAAGGUAGCGCAAUCAAUUGUCUUUUAAAUGAAGACCUGUAUGAAUGGCAUAACGAGGGUUUAACUGUCUCUUUUUUCAGGUCAAUGAAACUGAUCUGUCCGUGCAGAAGCGGACAUAUUAACACAAGACGAGAAGACCCUAUGGAGCUUUAGACGCCCACCAACCGCGAAAAGCAGCCUACCUUAACAGAUGCUCUAAACAACGCGGUCCUGGUACAAACGUCUUCGGUUGGGGCGACCGCGGAGGAGAACAAAGCCUCCGAGAGGAAUGGGAACAAACCCUAAAACCAAGAGCCACAGCUCUAAGUCACAAAAAAUUUGACCGACAAUGAUCCGGCUUACUGCCGAUCAACGGACCAAGUUACCCUAGGGAUAACAGCGCAAUCCCCUCCCAGAGUCCAUAUCGACGAGGGGGUUUACGACCUCGAUGUUGGAUCAGGACAUCCUAAUGGUGCAGCCGCUAUUAAGGGUUCGUUUGUUCAACGAUUAAAGUCCUACGUG
rnacentral:rRNA from 1 species